UUAAUUACUUUGAAUGUUCCUCCACCAAGCCAAUGCCAGACUCCUGCAAUCAUAGGAUGGCAGCACCACCUCUAAAGCACAGAACUUCAGGCUUUGCUUCGGAAGUGGCACCAUGUCUCUUCAUUUUCCCUUUCUUCAAGGGAAAAUCCUUGAAGAAAUUUCCUUCAGAAAACUCCUGAAGCUGUUAGAAUUUUUAGUGUUCAUGUUGCUGAGGAGGCAGAGGGCUGAGUUCUUCCAUCCAUCGCCUUCAAGUGUCAGGCGGCUUCCGGUUGGACAAGAUGGCUACCCCAGUGGGCUUGUUUCCUCUCUGGUCUCUUUUUCUGUCUAAGACUCACUCCAUACCAGC
rnacentral:lncRNA from 1 species